GAUGAACGCUGGCGGCGUGCCUAAUACAUGCAAGUCGAGCGAACAGACGAGGAGCUUGCUCCUCUGAUGUUAGCGGCGGACGGGUGAGUAACACGUGGAUAACCUACCUAUAAGACUGGGAUAACUUCGGGAAACCGGAGCUAAUACCGGAUAACAUGUUGAACCGCAUGGUUCAACAGUGAAAGACGGUCUUGCUGUCACUUAUAGAUGGAUCCGCGCCGCAUUAGCUAGUUGGUAAGGUAACGGCUUACCAAGGCAACGAUGCGUAGCCGACCUGAGAGGGUGAUCGGCCACACUGGAACUGAGACACGGUCCAGACUCCUACGGGAGGAAGCAGUAGGGAAUCUUCCGCAAUGGGCGAAAGCCUGACGGAGCAACGCCGCGUGAGUGAAGAAGGUCUUCGGAUCGUAAAACUCUGUUAUUAGGGAAGAACAAAUGUGUAAGUAACUAUGCACGUCUUGACGGUACCUAAUCAGAAAGCCACGGCUAACUACGUG
rnacentral:rRNA from 1 species